rnacentral:misc_RNA from 1 species
AAAAAAAAGCUUUAUGAAAUUCAUUUGUAAAUUAAAUGAAUUCCAAUUUUAUUUUAUCGAAAAGCAAUGCAAGAGAUAAUCACUACAAUUCUUUUCAAGCUGCAGAGUCAAUAAAUGGAUCAAAUAUUGCCGAAAAGUUGCAUUAUAAAUAAUUUCUUGAUAAUUUUCCAUCUAUUCACAAACAAAUUUCAUUAUUCUUUGCAUAAUCCUCUUAAAGGCUGAUAAGCCUACAAAAGAGGAUAUCAACUCCUCUUUCCCCCCUCCAAUAAAACAGCCGAGAAUUUUAUCAAAAGCUUACCAAAACAACCAUUCGUAGUCUCAUAAUAUCAAAAGCUUCAUUUCUUCUCAAUAAUUUCUACACAUGGGCAACCAAAUGGUCCAACCAAACAAGUAAUAAGUUGCCUAAUCAUUGUUUACCAAGCAUUUGCAUUAAGUGAAAAUACGACCUCGUUAGGUUCCCUUAGGAUGACUUCUUCCUAUGCUUUACAUAAGCCACUGGUGUAGCUUUUCCUCUUAAUAAUUA